rnacentral:misc_RNA from 1 species
GAUGAAGAACGUAGCGAACUGCGAUAAGUAAUGUGAAUUGCAGAAUUCAGUGAAUCAUCGAAUCUUUGAACGCACAUUGCGCCCGCCAGUAUUCUGGCGGGCAUGCCUGUCCGAGCGUCAUUUCAACCCUCGAACCCCUCCGGGGGGUCGGCGUUGGGGACCUCGGGAGCCCCUAAGACGGGAUCCCGGCCCCGAAAUACAGUGGCGGUCUCGCCGCAGCCUCUCCUGCGCAGUGGUUUGCACAACUCGCACCGGGAGCGCGGCGCGUCCACGUCCGUAAAACACCCAACUUCUGAAAUGUUGACCUCGGAUCAGGUAGGAAUACCCGCUGAACUUAAGCAUAUCAAUAAGCGGAGGA